UGCGGGGUGGAGCAGUUUGGUAGCUCGUCGGGCUCAUAACCCGAAGGUCUAUGGUUCAAAUCCAUACCCCGCUA
rnacentral:tRNA from 1 species